CUUCGAUAUACUUAAUCUAUUAUGGGAAUAGGUUAGAAAUUUAAAUCAUCAUUCUCUUCCGAAAUAGUCUAGAAAAACUUAUUCCAUCCGAGACUAUAACAAAAAGUUUGAUUUGAGCUCUGACUUACGGCCGUAUUCACCAACCGAGUUUCAAAACGAGAAUUGCGUGAUGCGAGAAGCAACCGAUCUGAGCUGCGAUUCGGCAUCAGAACGAUCACCGUAUUCACCACGCUAUUUUGAUGAUAGCUCACGUGAUCGCCGACUUAAAUCGGGACAGUUUGUAAGAGGCGAUCUGACUGGACAAGAGAGAUCACAAGGUUUAUUUAUUUAUUUAUUUGACAUUGCAAACUUGAAAGGUACAAUACGCUACAGCCAC
rnacentral:lncRNA from 1 species